CCCUAUGGGGUGCAGCAGGCGCGAAACCUUUACACUGCACGCCAGUGCGAUAAGGGGACCCCGAGUGCGAGGGCAUACAGUCCUCGCUUUUCGUGACCGUAAGGUGGUCACAGAAUAAGAGCUGGGCAAGACCGGUGCCAGCCGCCGCGGUAAUACCGGCAGCUCGAGUGAUAGCCACUUUUAUUGGGCCUAAAGCGUCCGUAGCCGGCCGAACAGGUCCGUCGGGAAAUCCACUCGCUCAACGAGUGGACGUCCGGCGGAAACCAGUCGGCUUGGGGCCGGGAGACCAGAGAGGUACGUCCGGGGUAGGAGUGAAAUCCCGUAAUCCUGGACGGACCGCCGGUAGCGAAAGCGUCUCUGGAGAACGGACCCGACGGUGAGGGACGAAAGCUUGGGUCUCGAACCGGAUUAGAUACCCGGGUAGUCCAAGCCGUAAACGAUGCUCGCUAGGUGUGGCGUUGGCUACGAGCUAGCGCUGUGCCGUAGGGAAGCCGAGAAGCGAGCCGCCUGGGAAGUACGUCCGCAAGGAUGAAACUUAAAGGAAUUGGCGGGGGAGCACUACAACCGGAGGAGCCUGCGGUUUAAUUGGACUCAACGCCGGACAUCUCACCGGCACCGACAGUGUGCAGUGACAGUCAGUCUGAUGGGCUUACUUGAGCCACUGAGAAGAGGUGCAUGG
rnacentral:rRNA from 1 species